rnacentral:lncRNA from 1 species
AGCUCCAAAGAUCUCAUUUCUCCUCAUUCUCCACAGCACUGGUGUCACGGGCACAUGCUCAACUAUCCCUAGCUUUUUAUAAAUGCUGGGAAAGCUGAGGUCCUCAUUUUUGUGCAACAAGUGUUCUCAUCUUCUCAGCUCUCUCAGCCCUGAUCUGAGUAUUUCUAAUUGUGAAAAACAAUUAAUAUUGAAGUCAACCUAAUUAUUGAAAAUUGUAUAUUUUGCCUAAUAGUUUCAGUAUACAGAAUACACAUGUGCUUUCACUUACAUUCACCAACCACUAACAUUUGCAUUUAGUGAAUGAAAAGUGAACAGCUCUCUUCAUAGGACUAUAGUUGCAAUAUUUACUACUUUCACUUAUUCAUUAAAGUUGAAUGAGCUGCUUCCCUAGUCCACAUUUAUCAAUGCACACUAGGUAGACAUUUGAAGGGCUAGACCCUGAAGCAGUAACAAUAGUUAUCUACAAAGAGUUUUGUAAGUAAUUUUUGAUUUUGCAAGAAAAACAAAUAUAGCUGUUCACUUGGGAAAAGAUGGUUACUUCUGUGGUUAUUAAUUAUGUGUAACUAACAUUUUAAAUUUUUUUUCAGAUUAAACAUCCCACUGCCCUGGGAUUAGAAGUUGGCCAGGAAAUUCAGGUCAAAUACUUUGGCCGUGAUCCAGCUGAUGGAAGAAUGAGGCUUUCCCGUAAAGUACUUCAGUCUCCAGCUACAACUGUUCUCAAAACUCUAAAUGAUAGGAGCAGCAUUGUAAUGGGAGAGCCUAUUUCACAGUCAUCAUCUAACUCUUCCCCUUGACUCCUUUUUAAAAUGGUAUUCAAUGGUGAGAUUCUGCAGAGCAAAAUUUAAUAGUCCCAUUUAUUGUGUAGAUUUAUAUAUAAUUUAAAUAUAAUUAUUUGUAUUAAAAUGCUUAUUUCAUGU